UACGAAGGGGGCAAGCGUUGUUCGGAAUUACUGGGCGUAAAGGGCGCGUAGGCGGCUUAUCAAGUCAGGCGUGAAAUUCCCGGGCUCAACCUGGGGGCUGCGCUUGAUACUGAUUGGCUUGAAUGCGGGAGAGGAUAGUGGAAUUCCCAGUGUAGAGGUGAAAUUCGUAGAUAUUGGGAAAAACACCGGUGGCGAAGGCGGCUAUCUGGCCCGUAAUUGACGCUGAGGCGCGAAAGCGUGGGGAGCAAACAGG
rnacentral:rRNA from 1 species